rnacentral:rRNA from 1 species
AUUGAACGCUGGCGGCAUGCCUUACACAUGCAAGUCGAACGGUAACGGGCCUUCGGGUGCCGACGAGUGGCGCACGGGUGAGUAAUACAUCGGAACGUGCCCGAUCGUGGGGGAUAACGAGGCGAAAGCUUUGCUAAUACCGCAUACGAUCUACGGAUGAAAGCAGGGGACCGCAAGGCCUUGCGCGGACGGAGCGGCCGAUGGCAGAUUAGGUAGUUGGUGGGAUAAAAGCUUACCAAGCCGACGAUCUGUAGCUGGUCUGAGAGGAUGAUCAGCCACACUGGGACUGAGACACGGCCCAGACUCCUACGGGAGGCAGCAGUGGGGAAUUUUGGACAAUGGGCGCAGGCCUGAUCCAGCCAUGCCGCGUGCAGGAUGAGGGCCUUCGGGUUGUAAACUGCUUUUGUACGGAACGAAAAGCCUUCUUUUAAUACAGGAGGGUCAUGACGGUACCGUAAGAAUAAGCACCGGCUAACUACGUG